UACGAAGGGGGCUAGCGUUGCUCGGAAUGACUGGGCGUAAAGGGCGCGUAGGCGGUUCAAACAGUCAGAUGUGAAAUUCCCGGGCUCAACCUGGGGGCUGCAUUUGAUACGUUUGGGCUUGAGUGGGGAAGAGGGUCGUGGAAUUCCCAGUGUAGAGGUGAAAUUCGUAGAUAUUGGGAAGAACACCGGUGGCGAAGGCGGCGACCUGGUCCUUUUACUGACGCUGAGGCGCGAAAGCGUGGGGAGCAAACAGG
rnacentral:rRNA from 1 species